rnacentral:rRNA from 1 species
GACGAACGCUGGCGGCGUGCUUAACACAUGCAAGUCGAACGGGAGUAUUGAAGAAGCUUGCUUUAGAGAUACUUUAGUGGCGGACGGGUGAGUAACGCGUGAGGAGCUGUCCUAUGCAGGGGGACAACAGCUGGAAACGGCUGCUAAUACCCCAUAAGCCGAGAGGUAAAAGGAUCAAUCCGGCAGAGGAGGUACUCGCGUCCUAUCAGCUAGUAGGUGAGGUAACGGCUCACCUAGGCGAAGACGGGUAGCCGGCCUGAGAGGGCGAACGGCCACACUGGAACUGAGAUACGGUCCAGACUCCUACGGGAGGCAGCAGUGGGGAAUAUUGGGCAAUGGGGGAAACCCUGACCCAGCGACGCCGCGUGGGUGAAGAAAUCCUCCGGGAUGUAAAGCCCUGUUGUAUGGGAAGAGCGGAAGACGGUACCAUACGAGGAAGCCCCGGCAAACUACGUG